UACGUAGGGGGCAAGCGUUGUUCGGAAUUACUGGGCGUAAAGGGCGCGUAGGCGGCACGGCAAGUCAGGCGUGAAAGCCCGGGGCUCAACCCCGGAAUGUCUUUUGAAACUGCCGAGCUAGAGUGCGGAAGAGGCAACUGGAAUUCCCAGUGUAGCGGUGAAAUGCGCAGAUAUCAGGAGGAACACCAAUGGCGAAGGCAGCUCGCUGGGACGUGACUGACGCUGAGACGCGAAAGCGUGGGGAGCAAACAGG
rnacentral:rRNA from 1 species